UAUACGACCGCAAACAAUUUUUGCGGUCGUAUAUUGGUAUGACGUUGGCGUCGUCGUCGUCCGGCAUCGUCAUCGUCCGUAGACACAUUGGUUUUCGCACAAUAACUUUAGUUUAAGUGAAUGGAUCUCCAUGAAAUUUUACCAUAAGGUUCAAUACCACAAAAGGAAGGUUGGGAUUGAUUUUGGGGGUUAUGGUACCAACAGUUAAGGAAUUAGGGGCCAAAAAUAAGCAUUUUUGUAACUUCCAGACAAUAACUUGUGUGUUAGUGUAUGGAUCGCUCUGACAUUGUACCACAAGGUUCCAUAUCACUAAAGGAAUGCUGGGAUUGAUUUUGGGGGUAAUUGCCUCAAAAUUUUAGGAAUUGGGUGCCAAAAAAGGGGCAAAAAACAUGCAUUUUUCUAGUUUCAUGAUAAUAACUUGUGUGUAAGUGUGUGGAUCUUUCUGAAAUUGUACUACAAGGUUCCAUAUCACAAAGGGAAAGCUCGAAUUGAGUUUUGGGGUAAUUGCCCAAAACGUUUAGGAAUAAGGGGCCAAAAAGGGGCAAAAAAUAAGCAUUUUUCUCUUUUCCAGACAAUAACUUGUGUUCAAGUGUAUGGAUCUCUCUGAAAUUGUACUGCAAGGUACCACACCACAAAGGGAAGGCUGGGAUUGAUUUUUAGGGUAAUUGCCUCAAAAUUUAAGGAAUUAGGGGCCAAAAGGGGGGAAAAAACAAGCAUUUUUCUAGUUUCAUGACAAUAACUUGUGUGUAAGUGUAUGGAUCUUUAUGAAAUUGUACUACAAGGUUCCAUAUCACAAAGGGAAGGCUGGGAUUGAUUUUGGGGGUAAUUGCCUCAAAAUUUUAGGAAUUAGGGGCCAAAAAAGGGGCAAAAAACAAGCAUUUUUCUAGUUUCAUGACAAUAACUUGUGUGUAAGUGUAUGGAUCUUUCUGAAAUUGUACUACAAGGUUCCAUAUCAAAAAGGGAAAGCUGGAAUUGAGUUUGGGGGUAAUUGCCCAAAACGUUUAGGAAUAAGGGGCAGAAAAGGGGCAAAAAAUAAGCAUUUUUCUAGUUUCCAGACAAUAACUUGCGUUCAAGUGGAUGGAUCUCUCUGAAAUUGUACUGCAAGGUACCAUACCACAAAGGGAAGGCUGGGAUUGAUUUUGGGGGUAAUUGCCUCAAAAUUUUAGGAAUUAGGGGCCAAAGAGGGGCAAAAAACAAGCAUUUUUCUAGUUUCAGGACAAUAACUUGUGUGUAAGUGUAUGGAUCUUUCUGAAAUUGUACUACAAGGUUCAAUAUCACAAAGGGAAAGCUGGGUUUAAGUUUGGGGGUAAUUGCCUAAAACGUUUAGGAAUUUGGGGCCAAAAAGGGGCCAAAAAACAAGCAUUUUCUAGUUUCCAGACAAUAACUUGUGUUCAAGUGUAUGGAUCUCUCUGAAAUUGUACUGCAAGGUACCAUACCACAAAGGGAAGGCUGGGAUUGAGUUUGGGGGUGAUGAAUCAUAAGGGGGUUCAAAAAAUUUGGGGGGAGGGAUUUUUUUUUUUUUUAAUUUUCAAUUUUAAAUUGGUUAUUUCUGAUUUAUAUAUUAAAGCUAAUAAUAAUGAUAUGGUUUGAAUAGGUAAAUUGAAAAUUUAUAAUUUCUUAGACCACAUUCAUUCUGUGUCAGAAACCUAUAUUGUGUCAAAUAUUUAAUCACAAUCCAAAUUCAGUGUGUAUCAAGCUUAAAUGUUGUGUCCAUACUUGCCCCAACUGUUCAGGGUUCGACCUCUGCGGUCGUAUCAAGCAGCGCCCAGCGGAGCAUUUUAUCUGAAGUCAAAUUGAGUAAAAUUUUAACACAUUGUAAAGAUUGAUGAAGAAAACUAAUACAAUUUAGGCAACUGUAUGAGUAAUUGUUUUGGGGGAAUUUAAAUAGUUUUUACAAUUCCAUUAAAGUAUGAAAGCUCUCUAUGUAUAUUGAAGAUUGUCUUAAUAGUUUUUUUGUUUUUUUUUGAGUAAUGGAGGAUGAGGUGCAAUAUGACUCUUUGUACCACAAAACAAAUUUAUAAAUAUCAGUUUUUCAUUUUUUAUAAAAUUUCACCAAAAUAUAAAGAUUUUAUUGACUUUACCAGGUUUACCAGAAAAGUGAUAAAAGUAGAUUCAAAUUAUACAUCUGUAAGUGAUUUGCAAACAAAUCAGACCAUAUACUGUAUAUUCAGAAAUUAUUGCAAGGUUUUUAUUAAUCGAGUAAUUGGACUGGAUAAGAAUACAUAUAUUUGUAUACCGACCUUUCUGAAAUCACAAUAAUUAAUCUCGAAUUUUUGUUCAUACUUCAAAAAUCGCAAUAAUAAAUGCAUACAAUAAUUUCUGAAUUAACAGUUAUCUUGCAAAGAAUACUAUUAAUUGUUGCUCAUAAUAUUUUCAUGUAUAUAAUAUUAUUUUAAUACUCAUGACAUAAGGGAAUUAUUUACUUAUGUAAGGGUCAAAGAGAACAAAGUAUGAAUAGAGACAUUUGUGGCAAAGAUAUAAAUUGUACAAUUUUAUGUGUCUUGUUUUAAGUGAUGCUAUGAUUGUCCUAAAUUUACAGCAUGUUCAACAACUGUGAUGUGAAAAUAAAAGGAUUAUAACAAG